rnacentral:rRNA from 1 species
GGGGGGGGCAAGCGUUGUUCGGAAUUACUGGGCGUAAAGGGCCAGUAGGCGGCCAACUAAGUCCGACGUGAAAUCCCAAGGCUUAACCUUGGAACUGCGUCGGAUACUGGAUGGCUUGAAUUCGGGAGAGGGAUGCAGAAUUCCAGGUGUAGCGGUGAAAUGCGUAGAUAUCUGGAGGAAUACCGGUGGCGAAGGCGGCAUCCUGGACCGACAUUGACGCUGAACGGCGAAAGCUAGGGGAGCAAACGGGAUUAGAUACCCCGGUAGUCCUAGCCCUAAACGAUGAAUGCUUGGUGUGGCGGGUAUCGAUCCCUGCCGUGCCGAAGCUAACGCAUUAAGCAUUCCGCCUGGGGAGUACGGUCGCAAGGCUG